AAGAAUUUUUUACUCUUUAAGACACUUUUUAUCUUUCAAAUUACACAAUAGGUCACUUGUUGCUGGAGACACACUUUCUCUUUGUGCAAUGUCCUAUAUGUCCUCAAUCUAACUACGCUCUCUCCUAACCACAACCCUUCAUAACUAAGCUGUCACUUUCCCUUCUUUAAAAAAAAAACGAUUGAUCAGUUUCUGAUUUUUGAGUUUUCAAAAACCAAUCUAUAUUCUCCUCCAACUUUACUUUUUCAGAUUCAGAUUUACUUUCCCCAAUCUAUAUUAAUGAUAUAGGUGUGAAGAUCUUUUUCCUUUCCACAAUCUAUGUGUUGAUGGGCUGUCCACUUUCUUAUGUUGUAUGUUGUGGAAGAAAAGGGUGGUAAAGAUGGUGAGCUUUUGGCUGAUGCGAUCGAGUGAUGCAGAGAUGGACACAAAAAUGGAUAUGCUUGAUGGUGAAGAUGUGGUUGCCGAUGAUGAUGAUAGUUACCAUCAAACGCCCUAAGUUAUUCUCUAAAUAUUUUUCUUCACUAGUUUCCGUAGAUCCGAUCUUCUUUUUGUAUAAUCCUGCAAUGAUUGCUAAUCAAUUUUUUCUUACUUGGAAUCCACGUUAUCCGAUAAACAAUUUUUCCUUAACUGACUUUACAAUUAUGUUCUUUCUGUA